UGCGAGUGAAGCGGCAACAGCUCAAAUUUGAAAUCUGGCCUCCUUGGGGUCCGAGUUGUAAUUUGUAGAGGGUGCUUCGGGCGCGAUGCCGGUCUAAGUUCCUUGGAACAGGACGUCGUAGAGGGUGAGAAUCCCGUAUGCGGCCGGCAAUCAAGCCUGUGUGAAGCCCCUUCGACGAGUCGAGUUGUUUGGGAAUGCAGCUCAAAAUGGGUGGUAAAUUUCAUCUAAAGCUAAAUAUUGGCCAGAGACCGAUAGCGGACAAGUAGAGUGAUCGAAAGAUGAAAAGCACUUUGGAAAGAGAGUCAAACAGUACGUGAAAUUGUUGAAAGGGAAGCGCUUGCAAUCAGACCGGUCCGGAGGCGAUCAGCCGCUGCUCGUCAGCGGUGCACUCGCCUGCGAUCCGGCCAGCAUCGGUUUGGGCGGUGGGAUAAAAGGCCCGGGAAUGUAGCUUCUUUCGGGGAGUCUUAUAGCCCGGGUCGCAAUGCCGCCUGCCCGGACCGAGGACCGCGCUUCGGCUAGGAUGCUGGCGUAAUGGUUGCAAGCG
rnacentral:rRNA from 1 species